rnacentral:rRNA from 1 species
UACGAAGGGGGCUAGCGUUGCUCGGAAUCACUGGGCGUAAAGGGUGCGUAGGCGGGUCUUUUAAGUCAGGGGUGAAAUCCUGGAGCUCAACUCCAGAACUGCCUUUGAUACUGAAGAUCUUGAGUCCGGGGAGAGGUGAGUGGAACUGCGAGUGUAGAGGUGAAAUUCGUAGAUAUUCGCAAGAACACCAGUGGCGAAGGCGGACUCACUGGCCCGGUACUGACGCUGAGGUGCGAAAGCGUGGGGAG